CCUACGGGGGGCAGCAGUGGGGAAUAUUGCUCAAUGGGCGAAAGCCUGAAGCAGCAACGCCGCGUGGGGGAUGAAGGUUUUCGGAUUGUAAACCCCUUUUGGUAGAGAAGAAAAUGAUGGGAUUCAUCGCCUAAGCACUGGCCAUCUCCGUGCCAGCAGCCGCGGUAAUACGGAGGGUGCAAGCGUUACUCGGAAUCACUGGGCGUAAAGAGCGCGUAGGCGGGAUGGCAAGUCGGAUGUGAAAUCCUUUGGCUUAACCAUAGAACUGCAUUUGAAACUGGUAUUCUAGAGUAUGGGAGAGGUAGGUGGAAUGCUUGGUGUAGCGGUGAAAUGCGUAGAGAUCGAGAGGAAUACUGAUUGCGAAGGCGGCCUGCUGGAACAAGACUGACGCUGAUGCGCGAAAGCGUGGGGAGCAAACAGGAUUAGAUACCCGAGUAGUC
rnacentral:rRNA from 1 species